rnacentral:rRNA from 1 species
ACAAUAAGUAUUCCACCUGGGGAGUACGACCGCAAGGUUGAAACUUAAAGGAAUUGACGGGGGCCCGCACAAGCAGUGGAUUAUGUGGUUUAAUUCGACGCAACGCGAAGAACCUUACCAGGAUUUGACAUCCAACUAACGAAGUAGAGAUACAUUAGGUGCCCUUCGGGGAAAGUUGAGACAGGUGGUGCAUGGUUGUCGUCAGCUCGUGUCGUGAGAUGUUGGGUUAAGUCCCGCAACGAGCGCAACCCCUAUUGUUAGUUGCUACGCAAGAGCACUCUAGCGAGACUGCCGUUGACAAAACGGAGGAAGGCGGGGACGACGUCAAAUCAUCAUGCCCCUUAUGUCCUGGGCUACACACGUAAUACAAUGGUGGUUAACAGAGGGAAGCAAAACCGCGAGGUGGAGCAAAUCCCUAAAAGCCAUCUCAGUUCGGAUUGCAGGCUGCAACUCGCCUGCAUGAAGCUGGAAUUGCUAGUAAUCGCGGAUCAGCAUGCCGCGGGAAUACG